UACGUAGGGGGCGAGCGUUGUCCGGAAUCAUUGGGCGUAAAGCGCGUGUAGGCGGCCCGGUAAGUCCGCUGUGAAAGUCCAGGGCUCAACCCUGGGAUGCCGGUGGAUACUGUCGGGCUCGAGUCCGGAAGAGGCGAGUGGAAUUCCUGGUGUAGCGGUGAAAUGCGCAGAUAUCAGGGGGAACACCAAUGGCGAAGGCAGCUCGCUGGGACGGUACUGACGCUAAGGCGCGAAAGCGUGGGGAGCAAACAGG
rnacentral:rRNA from 1 species